rnacentral:rRNA from 1 species
CCUACGGGUGGCAGCAGUGGGGAAUAUUGCUCAAUGGGCGAAAGCCUGACGCAGCGACGCCGCGUGAGGGAUGAAGGUCUUCUGAUCGUAAACCUCUGUCUGCAGGGAAGAACGGUCACUGUGCUAAUCAGCAGUGAAUUGACGUUACCUGCAAAGGACGCACCGGCUAACUCCGUGCCAGCAGCCGCUGUAAUACGGAGGGUGCGAGCGUUAAUCGGAAUUACUGGGCGUAAAGCGCUCGUAGGCGGUAUGUCAAGUCAAGGGUGAAAUCCCGGCGCUCAACGUGGGAACUGCCUUUGAAACUGGCAGACUGGAGUGUGUGAGAGGCUGGUGGAAUGCGAGGUGUAGGGGUGAAAU